rnacentral:rRNA from 1 species
AUUGAACGCUGGCGGCAUGCCUUACACAUGCAAGUCGAACGGCAGCACGGGUGCUUGCACCUGGUGGCGAGUGGCGAACGGGUGAGUAAUAUAUCGGAACGUACCUUAUUGUGGGGGAUAACGCAGCGAAAGCUGUGCUAAUACCGCAUAAUCCCUAAGGGGGAAAGCGGGGGACCGUAAGGCCUCGCGCAAUUAGAGCGGCCGAUACCUGAUUAGCUAGUUGGUGAGGUAAAGGCUCACUAAGGCAACGAUCAGUAGCUGGUCUGAGAGGACGAUCAGCCACACUGGGACUGAGACACGGCCCAGACUCCUACGGGAGGCAGCAGUGGGGAAUUUUGGACAAUGGGGGCAACCCUGAUCCAGCAAUGCCGCGUGAGUGAAGAAGGCCUUCGGGUUGUAGAGCUCUUUUGUCAGGGAAGAAACAGCAGCUCUAACACAGUUUGCGAAUGACGGUACCUGAAGAAUAAGCACCGGCUAACUACGUGCCAGCCGCCGCCGUAA